rnacentral:rRNA from 1 species
CACGCCCUAAACGAUGUCUACUAGUUGUCGGGUCUUAAUUGACUUGGUAACGCAGCUAACGCGUGAAGUAGACCGCCUGGGGAGUACGGUCGCAAGAUUAAAACUCAAAGGAAUUGACGGGGACCCGCACAAGCGGUGGAUGAUGUGGAUUAAUUCGAUGCAACGCGAAAAACCUUACCUACCCUUGACAUGGCUGGAAUCCUUGAGAGAUUGAGGAGUGCUCGAAAGAGAACCAGUACACAGGUGCUGCAUGGCUGUCGUCAGCUCGUGUCGUGAGAUGUUGGGUUAAGUCCCGCAACGAGCGCAACCCUUGUCAUUAGUUGCUACGAAAGGGCACUCUAAUGAGACUGCCGGUGACAAACCGGAGGAAGGUGGGGAUGACGUCAAGUCCUCAUGGCCCUUAUGGGUAGGGCUUCACACGUCAUACAAUGGUACAUACAGAGCGCCGCCAACCCGCGAGGGGGAGCUAAUCGCAGAAAGUGUAUCGUAGUCCGGAUUGUAGUCUGCAACUCGACUGCAUGAAGUUGGAAUCGCUAGUAUUCGCGGAUCAGCAUGUCGCGGUGAAUACGUUCCCGGGUCUUGUACACACCGCCCGUCACACCAUGGGAGCGGGUUUUACCAGAAGUAGGUAGCUUAACCGCAAGGAGGGCGCUUACCACGGUAGGAUUCGUGACUGGGGUGAAGUCGUAACAAGGUAACCAAG